AUGCGGGCGCUGCCCCCUCUGGAGCUGCUGCCAGCCAGGGAGGGCGAGUCUCUGGGCAGCAAAGCUGUACUGGCCCCACGGGUAUCCGUGAUCAAUGGGACCAGCCCCUUUGCCUAUGACUAUGACCUCACCCAUGUUGUUGCUGCCUACCAGGAGAGGAACGUUGCCACCAUCCUGAAUGACUCCAGCUUCCUCUGGCUGGUGGGCAGAGCCAUGAAACUCCAUUUGUGAUUAAUGCUGUCAUCCAAUAUCCUGUGGAAACCAUUUCUUAUCAGCCAGGAUUCUGGGAGAUAGUAAAGUUCGCCUGGGUGCAGUAUGUCAGCAUCCUGCUUAUCUUCCUCUGGGUGUUUGAAAGAAUCAAGAUCUUCGUGUUUCAGAAUCAGGUGGUGACCACCAUCCCUGUGACAGCAACGCCCCGGGGAGAAAUGUGUAAGGAGCACUUAUCCUAGGAAGGCCGUUUCUGAAGACUCGGCAGGACCGUGGCUGCCUCAUUGUCAUCUCCUGGGAACAUCUUAGGACCUUUUGAAAGAGCCCAGAGGACACGUGCGGGCUUGUGUGCUUUUCCCCUCAGAGACAACAGUUCUUUCCAGUUUUGCUCUACACAAGUUCCGUAUCUUCAGAGCUCCUGCAGAAUCACCAAGGACUAGUUUGUGGAAAGGUCUGAGAGUUCCUGGAGGCUAUAAUUAGCUUUUUGGGUUUUCUUCCUUGCCUUAGAGUUGAAUUUCAGGAGAAAAUGGCAGGCAGUUCAGACAUCUUGGAAAGAGUCCCAUCUCUGGUCAAGCGGAGACUUUUCCUCUGUUGAACUGAGAAACACACUGUGCAUUUCUUCCUUCUACUGUGAGCCACUCUUACGCUUUCCGGGGCUUUUUUGUGACAAAUAUGCCAAUCACUAGCACUUUGCACCCCUGGGCAUCUCCAUUUCCCAUUCAGAGCUUUGAUUUCCAGAGCUGAGGCCUCUAACUGGAGACCUGGAGGGGCAGGGUCCAAGGGCAAGGGCUGCAUUAGCACAGGCAUGAGGGAGGGCUGCUGAAGGCGACUUGGACUGUCCACCUGCCCCAGCCCAACAGUCAGUCAUCUGUAAUCAGCUCGCUGAGCAGCCUUGGAUCUUUGCCGAACUGUGGCUGGCUCUUCACCCUAUUUUUCCCUCUCUCUGUGCCCCUGAUGGCAGACUAAAGUCAGAGGGGCUGUUUCAUUCCCAGCCCCCUCAGCAGCACUGAGGGAAGAAAGGAUUGUCACAACAGGUUCUUUCUGGCCCUCACCCAACAGCCUGGGCACUUGGCCCUCCUCCUCCUUGACAGCCCUCCCCCUUCCUGCAAAGGACAGGGGCAAUAGGAGUUGGUGUUGGGAUUGGCUCCCACUGCCUGACAACCACAAGUUUAUUUGGAAGGCUAGUGGGAAGCCCAGCGGCUGGCCUUUCCCUUGACUAAGGACCACAGUGCCCAUCAGAGUAGGGCAGGCAGCUUUGGGAAGGACACAAGAAGCAGUGAGGGAGUAAAAAAGAUGCUGGCCUGGGCAGGCCAGUCCAGCCUGGCCACUAGCAGAAUGCCAAGCAGUCCAGCCAGAUUACCCUCGUGGCUAAGCAAGUGUCUGCAAGAGCAGAGAUGGCUGGAAGGGGCCUCUGCACACGGAAGAUGGCUUGUUCAGCCCAUUCAUCUCCUGAGGACACGUGCAGUCUCCUCCAAGGACAGACGGAGCUGCUUUCUGAUCCCAAGCAGGUCAUUACCACUGAGAGGACAUGGCCCCUGUGAUCCGUGCUUCAUGUUCACCCGGAAACGUACCCCUCAGUGUGUGCCUCAGUUUACCAUGGAGAUCAUUAUCCAUCUCCAGCACCCAUUUCCUUUAGGCUGACUAAAAACAAUUUUUGAAACAAAGCUAUUUUGAAGUAUUCAAGCAGAGCAAUUCCCUAAUACUGUCCCCGUUGUCUUUUUUUAAUAUUCAGGCUAUUUUAGAUGCCUAAAUUUU